GGGCCCGCACAAGCGGUGGAGCAUGUGGUUUAAUUCGACGCAACGCGAAGAACCUUACCUACACUUGACAUCCUCGGAACUUUCUAGAGAUAGAUUGGUGCCUUCGGGAACCGAGUGACAGGUGCUGCAUGGCUGUCGUCAGCUCGUGUCGUGAGAUGUUGGGUUAAGUCCCGUAACGAGCGCAACCCUCGUGCUUAGUUGCCAGCAUUAAGUUGGGCACUCUAAGCAGACUGCCGGUGACAAACCGGAGGAAGGUGGGGAUGACGUCAAGUCAGCAUGCCCCUUACGUUCUGGGCUACACACGUACUACAAUGCUACGGACAAAGGGAAGCUAGCCGGCGACGGUAUGCCAAUCUCGUAAACCGUGGCUCAGUUCAGAUUGCAGGCUGCAACUCGCCUGCAUG
rnacentral:rRNA from 1 species